GGGCGCGUAGCUCAAUGGUAGAGCAGUGGCCUUUUAAGCCAUUGGUUAAGGGUUCGAGCCCCUUCGCGCUCA
rnacentral:tRNA from 7 species